rnacentral:rRNA from 1 species
AGAUUGAACGCUGGCGGCAUGCCUAACACAUGCAAGUCGAACGGGAGUAGCAAUACUCUAGUGGCGGACGGGUGAGGAAUACGUAGGAAUUUGCCCUUAAGUGGGGGAUAACCCGGGGAAACCCGGAUUAAUACCGCAUGACCUCGAAAGAGCAAAGUGGGGGAGUCGCAAGACCUCACGCUUUUGGAGAAGCCUACGUCGGAUUAGCUAGUUGGUGAGGUAAUGGCUCACCAAGGCGACGAUCCGUAACUGGUCUGAGAGGAUGAUCAGUCACACCGGAACUGAGACACGGUCCGGACUCCUACGGGAGGCAGCAGUGGGGAAUAUUGGACAAUGGGGCGCGAAGCCUGAUCCAGCAAUGCCGCGUGUGUGAAGAA